rnacentral:rRNA from 1 species
UACGGGGGGGGCAAGCGUUGUUCGGAAUUACUGGGCGUAAAGGGCUCGUAGGUGGCCAACUAAGUCAGACGUGAAAUCCCCCGGCUUAACCGGGGAACUGCGUCUGAUACUGGAUGGCUUGAGAUUGGGAGAGGGAUGCGGAAUUCCAGGUGUAGCGGUGAAAUGCGUAGAUAUCUGGAGGAACACCGGUGGCGAAGGCGGCAUCCUGGACCAACACUGACGCUGAUGAGCGAAAGCCAGGGGAGCAAACGGG